GUUCCGUUAGUGGUAUCUAUGCUGAAAGUGAAAUUAUACAGAGAAGAUUAGCAUAACCCCUUUGCAAAGAUGACAUGUUGUUGUGUUUUGAUCUAUUGGCAUCU